GAUGAACGCUGGCGGCGUGCCUAAUACAUGCAAGUCGAGCGAACGGACGAGAAGCUUGCUUCUCUGAUGUUAGCGGCGGACGGGUGAGUAACACGUGGAUAACCUACCUAUAAGACUUGGAUAACUUCGGGAAACCGGAGCUAAUACCGGAUGAUAUUUUGAACCGCAUGGUUCAAAAGUGAAAGACGGUCUUGCUGUCACUUAUAGAUGGAUCCGCGCUGCAUUAGCUAGUUGGUAAGGUAACGGCUUACCAAGGCAACGAUGCAUAGCCGACCUGAGAGGGUGAUCGGCCACACUGGAACUGAGACACGGUCCAGACUCCUACGGGAGGCAGCAGUGGGGAAUCUUCCGCAAUGGGCGAAAGCCUGACGGAGCAACGCCGCGUGAGUGAUGAAGGUCUUCGGAUCGUAAAACUCUGUUAUUAGGGAAGAACAUAUGUGUAAGUAACUGUGCACAUCUUGACGGUACCUAAUCAGAAAGCCACGGCUAACUACGUG
rnacentral:rRNA from 1 species